UAAGAAAUGCUGUGCAAAUGAAUUCGGCCGU
rnacentral:piRNA from 1 species